rnacentral:rRNA from 1 species
GAUGAACGCUGGCUUUUGUGCUUAACACAUGCAAGUCGAACGAAGCCAAAAGGAAGCUUGCUUUCUUUGAAACUUAGUGGCGGACGGGUGAGUAACGCGUGAGGAACCUGCCCUUCAGUGGGGAAUAACAGCCGGAAACGGCUGCUAAUACCACAUAACGUUUUUGUGCCGCAUGACACUUCAACCAAAGAUUUAUCGCUGAGAGAUGGGCUCGCGUCCGAUUAGGUAGAUGGUGGGGUAACGGCCUACCAUGCCGACGAUCGGUAGCCGGACUGAGAGGUUGAUCGGCCACAUUGGGACUGAGACACGGCCCAGACUCCUACGGGAGGCAGCAGUGGGGGAUAUUGCGCAAUGGGGGCAACCCUGACGCAGCAACGCCGCGUGAAGGACGAAGGUCUUCGGAUUGUAAACUUCUUUUGUCAGGGACGAAAUCUGACGGUACCUGACGAAUAAGCUCCGGCUAACUAC